rnacentral:lncRNA from 1 species
UGCAAAAAGCAAUAAAAACUAUCAUUUCUCAAAUCAUCCUUUCCAUCUACUCUUCAACUUUACACUUCUCCUUAUCAGCUUUGUGAUUUUAAAGGUGUCCAAUUCCAGCUCUAAAGUUCAUGACAGAUCCUUCACGCAUUCUGAUUUAAUUUUCUAUCAACAUGUGUGGGUAUUCUGUUUAUAAGGACUAAUUACUAUAAACUAUUUGCAAGUAAAGCCUAAUAUUAUACUAAUUAAAGCCGAGUGAAGUACACAACACAACAUGCAGUUUUUCACUUUUCCACAAAUAUAUUAUAUAUAGAGGAAGUAUUUCCAACUUGUAGAUUGUUUUCUUGAUAUAAUUAGAGACCACCCCAAUUGGGAAUUCUGCAUUGGGAUUGCUAAGCUGAGAUGGGUAUCACUGGGGAGCUAGUUAAGAGCGUCUUCUCCAAAAGCCGGUCCGCUAGAACCCAUGAAAGCAAUGUGAGUUAGUUUACUAAAAUCUUUAUGCUUCUUAAAAUAUUCAUAUAUUUCUUCUUGUUUCAAGUUUUCAUCCAAUUCAUUAGACAUUUAUUCUUCCUCUGUAUCAAAGCAGAUAAGAAGCAAUUCAGAGAGAAGAAAAUGGAAAAGCUCGGUGAGGUCAUACCUGUGUGGUGAUGAAUUCAACUCUGUUCUUGCAGAGGAGGAUUCGGCUUCUGUAAGAAGCUCCAGGAUCACUGAAUACACGCAGCCUGAAUUUAGUUCUGUCAUUGCAGAGGAGGAUUAUGCUUCUGUUAGGAGCUCUGAAGCCACCGUUACACAGCCUAUACUGCCGGAUGCUGAAAGCAAAGAAAACAAGGACGAAACACAAGAAGAAAAGCAGAAUUCAGCCUCUAUACUAUUUCGCAAAGACGAUGCAGCCACUGUGAUCCAGUCAGCAUUCAGAAGCUUUCUGGUCAAUUCAAUCAGUCAGAAAUAUAACUAGACUUGAUUCAUUCAAUCUGAUUUAGCUCAUUUCAUAACUCACCUAAUAUAUUGCAAAAAAUUGCUAUCUGUUUAAGCAUGCAUUAUAAUGUUGGAAAUUGAGAAAUCUGUUCUCCUUUACACUGCAUUAUAUUCAAUUCUAGAUUCAGAAUUCGGAUUUAAAACUCUUUCAGGCUCGACGACAGAAGGAAGGACACAACUUGAUGGAUGAUAAGGAAGAGCUUGCCAUAGGAACAGGAAGUUCAAGUAAGGAGUCUGUAGGGACAUCAAUUGAAGUUCAAACCGGGAACUCAACAGAAGUUCUCUCAUUGAGAGAGGAAAGUGCGAUUUUGCCUCAACGAGUGCAGCAGAAAAGUAGAAGUCAAGUAUUGAAGCUCAAGGUAAAACAAAUAAAAAUUCUGGUUCUCUGGUCAUAAAUAUACAAGAGUGAGUGUGUGCGCUUGUGAAUCCAAACGUUUAUGGUGACGCUCAAUUAAUAUCAAAUUGUUAAUCUGACUGAGAUGACAAAUCAAGUCCUUCAACUGUCACAAGUCGAAUAAACAAUUUAAAAAAAAAAUAGUUCAGAACAAAUCAAAUUCUGAAAACACAUUUAACAAAAAGAUAAAUAGAAUCUGCAGAUUCCAUAGCUAUUGCCAUUCAUUUAAACUAGGAUCAGGUAAAUUCUUUAUCAAUCACACCGAAUCUAGACUAAAACCUUAAAAUAAGAACUUAAAGUCACAGAUUGCAUUGACUACAAAAUAAAAAUUCGGCUAUGAGUAGUUUGAAUUACCAUUUAUCCGAUUCAGAUUAAACCAUUUUCCUCAUGAUUCUUGCAGGAAGAUUGGGACGAUAGCACAGUGAGUAGCAAUAUAUCAAAGUUGAGAAUUCAGAACAGACUAGAAGCAACAACAAGGCGUGAAAGAGCAUUGGCUUAUGCUUUCUC